UCAAAUCUCUACUCAACUUAUUUCAUCUACAUAUUUCCACAUGGCCUCCUCUUCUACUGCUCUCUCACUAGCUACUCUCAAGAAUUGUUCUCUCCCUUACCUUAAUCGAUUGGUGCUCUGCAUUGCGUUGCUUCACACGUUGUUACUGCGAAAUUGCUCUUCAGCUCGCAGAAAUAGAACUCCAAUUUGAGGAUAUUUAACUGCAAAUCAAAAGCAUCAUUAUAGACAUUGUAACUCCCAAUAGCAAACCCAAGGUACAAGUGUUUGAUUCUGAGGCAUGCUAAAUACACUGUCUAUUUAGCUAAUAAGUUCACAAAACUGAGAUAUUCUUUCACAGUCGUUUUAUUCGGUGGUUUCUUGUGAAGUCUCUCAGUCAAAAAAUAAAUAGCUAUCUUUUUGUGGUAAUUGUUGAUUUUAGGUGGUUGUAGUGACAGAAGAUCGAGAUUUUGGUGCUGAAAUGGAUCUUGAAUCCGUACUGGGUGAUUUGUAUGGGCGAUCAAAUUUUUGGAUGAUAGUGGUGGUGGUUUGACCGUGGAGGAGGAGGUGGUGAUUUUGGAUGAUGGUUGUGACAACUUGAGCUGGUGACCUGAACUGUCGGGGAAGGCAUAAUUGAUGCCGGUUGGCGCUCGACAGGUGUUAGCGAUCACGGUGGUGGUGUAGAUGCAAGUGCAGGUGAUUCUAGUGGUGGUGGUGCACGUGGUGGUUGUGGUGCCGUCUUUAAGUUGUGUUGGUUUUGUAUAAACAUGAUUUGCGAUCAAUGAAUUGAGUUAAUUUGUGAGCAAAAAAUAAUAUGUGAUUUGUAAAAUAGAUAAUUUUUAUAUUGAUGCAAUGACUUGUGAUAUGUGAACUGAUAACAUGUCACAUAUCUUUGUGCACUUAUUAAAGGUUACAGAUCACGGAUCACUAAUUUAUAUUCACAUGUCAAUAUUAAUUAGUCAUUGGUUAUAGUUCAUAGAUUACAGGUCACCAUUCAUAGGUCACAUGUCAUAUUGUAUAGAUCACAGAUAUCUAUAAGUCAUGAGUUAGGCUAAUAUUAAUUGGUCACUGAUCAUAUUGUAUGGUUCAUAAGUCAAGG
rnacentral:lncRNA from 1 species